GGGAAUGUGGCUCGGUGGUAGAGCACCUGCCUAGCAUGCAGGUGGCCCUUGGUUUGAUCCCCGGCACCA
rnacentral:tRNA from 1 species